UGUCGUCAUCGACCACUCUAGUACUCUACCACAGACUCUACUGCGUGUAUUGUUUUCAUUAUGGCGGCUGAUCAUUGCAACGUGUCUGAAAGAUGUCUACGCUACAAAAACAUGGAUUUUCCUUUACUGGAUUACAUGGACGCUUAUUUGAAUAACAAAUAUGACAAGGAAACUAACCCUCAAGUAAAGUUCCAUUUCCUCUUUUAAAAUCAAUAAAUUCUUACUAUUAUGUAAAUAUUUAGACGAUUUUAAGUGUAUGGAUUUAUUAAACUAGCCUGAUGUUGCAAUGAUACAGUAGUUAUAGAGGGUGUCCCCCUUUAGAAAUCACUCUUGUGCGUACCAUGGGGAAUUUAGGGACCAUUCAUUAUUUAUGACUGGG